rnacentral:misc_RNA from 1 species
UGAUGCUUCCACUUUUUUGACUUGACAUUGAUCCAAAGCCACUCAGAGCUGCAGACAUACACUGAUGUGACAACUGACGUAGAGCAGAAAGCAGUGACUUGACCGCAGAUAGAUGCAUCAGAGCUGAGCUCUCAAACAGCUGAGAAUUCAGGGAAGAAAGAAUAUGAAAAUCACUAUAUUGGCCAGAAGAAUCUCUGGUGAGCUUAGGCACAGCUGUAGAGACCUCCUGUGUAGUUGCAUGUGGAGAAUGAAUAGCUCGGUCAAGAGAAGCCAGUGUCUCCAGUACCAAGCUCCAUGAAGGACCUAAAACAUUAUGCAGCCGAUGAGAUAUGUUGAAUAGUGUUCUAAGUGCCUGCACAUUCUUAGGAGUAAGAACAACAGUUUCCCUUGGCUCAAGAAAUGCUUCUGACCGCUUAGAUCCAGG